CCUUCCCUCCUCCUCCCGCGACUAACGAAUUUGAGUCGAAUCUCGGCUUUCGGCGCCAUUUUCGACUUGAAGCAAAAUAAAAAGACCCACAGUCGAACAGCGCACGGCGGAGAAGAAGGAGCUGGAGACAGGAUGCGAGCGGGGUGAAAGUGAAAAAUGGCACGUCGGAGAGUGCGGGACAGACAAAAAGAAAAGGAUUGGGGCGAUGCGGGAGAGGAAUAGAGGAAGGAGUAGUAGGUUCGGACUUUUAAGUCACGACCAACAUUGAUGGUCGGAGACAGGUAAACCAGUUGAGCUGAAACUCCUGUUCAGUUAACUCGUCCGUUGACCAGGAACUCGUUCUCCCCAAUUAAUUCGCCCGAACCACAGCUGCAAAGGGAUGAAGGAAAGGAGCAGAAUAGUGCGGAAGAAGUAGCGAAGCCAAUUUUGAAUGUAAAGAAUCGGCUCAGCACAGUUGGAAGUAAGAACUCUCUCAUCGCGCCUGCAAUUCGACUACAGUUGUAAGUCGGAUUAGGAGCCAGAAGAACGGAUGUUGUUAUUGUUAAAAACGGGAGGAGAAUAUGUGGCACAGGAGGCUGCCUAGCCAACGCACCUUUGCAUCAGAACAAAAGUUACUUUGAAUUCAAAGUACAAUCAACAGGAGUGUGGGGGGUUGGAGUUGCUACCCAAAAAGCCAAUCUUAACCAGAUUCCUUUUGGUCGGGAUGCACAAAGUUUAGUGCUUAGACAUGAUGGAGCUAUUUAUCACAAUAAUGAGGAGCGAAACCGACUACCAGCUAACAGUCUUCCUCAAGAAGGAGAUGUUGUGGGGCUGACCUAUGAUCAUGUGGAACUGAACAUUUAUUUGAAUGGGAAAAAUAUGCAUUGUCCAGCAUCUGGAAUUAGGGGUACAGUAUAUCCGGUUGUAUAUGUUGAUGACAGUGCAAUUUUGGAUUGUCAGUUCAGUGAAUUUUACAGUGCUCCACCUCCAGGGUUUGAAAAGAUAUUGUUUGAGCAACAGAUCUUUUGAUAUGCACUGUUUAAAUGUAUACUGUCACCCGAACACUGUUACCUUUCCUGCUCCUGCCUAGAUAUUUGUAUGUUUCUUUUGGUCGGAAGUUACUCAAAGGCAUUUUGGUCGAAUUGUCAGCAAAUUAACGGGUUUAUCAUGCUUUCAUCUUUCACUAUCUGAUAAUGUUAAAAAAAAAAAGUGUUUUUAAAGAGACCACUGGUAAACAAUGCAAGGUUCAAUAAAUAAAUAGUAAAACUUGUGCACCUUAUGAUUAAGGAAAAUUAAACUGAAAUGUUUGCCUGUGAAACACAGCAACGUGAUUAAUAUACUUUCCAAAUUAAGUACAAAUAUCAAAUAAGUAAUCACACGAAUAAUGUUGCUCUAAAUACUAUAUUUAGGCAGAGUUACUUAUUUGCUUUUAAUCUCUUAACCCUGUCCGGAAUUUAUUUUUGUUGCUCUUUUUGUAGCUGAUUUUAUGUGAUAUUGAUAUCAGAGUAUUUUUCAUCCGUGCAGUAUUCUUCUCUCAACCUUUUUUACUCUUUAUAGACUCAUUUAAAUUUUGCUACUACGGUCAUCAAUUUACUCAUCUUUGCCCUUUCUCUCUGUUCCACCAAGACUGCUUUGCUCCAUUUUAAAUAUUUUUUCGGUUGAGAUGAGUACCUAAUGGGAUGUAAAACAUCUUCAAAAUCACCAGUUAAAAUCUUCCCUACCUGGAGCUCGCAUACAAAAAACAGAUUGUCAGUCAGAAGAACAAAUUAUUUGACCAAAAAUUAUAGACUGCAGUGCCUCUGCUCAUAAAUGCAUUUUAUUAGAUUUCCCUCUGAAACGUUAACUUUUUUGUCCCUGAAGAUAAAUGCCAUGAAAGUCAGAAAUAUGAGAAUAAGACAGAAUUCUGGAAACAGCAGGUUAAAACUGGGAGGAUGUUCGAAAUGGCAAUGUUUAAGUUCACAAAGUGGCCGAAAAAGAAAACAAUGAUUGAAGGAGGAAUUAUUGAAUUUAUGUGAUUAAUUGGGCCAUUGAGUACAUCUCUGACACAAAAACAGUGUUGGUUCUGAUGUCGAGUCCUCCAGCCUGAAUCAUUAACUGUUUCACUUUGCAGUGCUUCCUGACCUAAGUAUUUACAACAUUUUCUGUUUUUGUGUUGAAAAUAUUGGUGAUACUGGAAAUAGCAGGUCAAGUGAUAUCCAUGGAUAGAGAAACAGUUUGAAACAGGAAAUAUAUUUAAUCUGUCUUAAAAUGGAGACAGGAAUGAUGGAGAGGAGUAUAGUAGUAUAUGUCAGAAUGGAAGGUGCUUAAAUGGGUGCAUUUGUGAGAUGGUUAGCUAACAAGCAUAUGUUUGUCACUGUGACAAUCUUUGUCUCCUGCUUGGCCCUUCAGUAAGAUUCAAAUGCAUUGCCAGAAUUUGAAGGAAAUGAGAAUAACUAAACUUAUUGAAGUUUUUGAAGCUCAAUAAAAAAGUUGUUGUCAAUUCUAAUACAAAAGAAAAUAGCCGAACAGAGCAUCUUCAUUCUGCUCCAUUUUCAUCUUUAAAGAAUUGGAACUGAACUUUUAAAUCCAUGCUUUCUGUCUAAACCAAGAUUUCUUGACACAGUGUUUAUCAUAGGAUUGGACUUGUGGAUAAAUGCCUAUUAUAUUUGGAUUCAGCAUCUAAAGUUUCUAUGAAAUGGUAUUAUUUAUAUUAAAAAAAUAGGUGUACAGUUCUUUGUGAAGAUGAUGUAGAAUCUCCACAAUGUUAUUUAAUAUUUUCUAAAGAUUAGAGGACAUUAAAGAACACUUGUUUUUGCAACUAUUUGUAUUGAAAUUUAUUAUUAUAAAGUGGAAAUGUUGUAAUUACAAACAUUAACAGAAAUGAGACCUAUGCUCUAUAACUAAGCAUUAAUUUGGGGGUUUCUGAAAAGCCAUACAGAAGAAUUUGGUAAGUGUAAUUAGUGAAUAUAAAUAGUGUUCAUGACCGUACCUCUAUUCAAAAAGAUUGUAGCUGAUCUUUUACUUCAGCGCUGGGUUCCUGGGAGAACCUCAUUUCCCUUGAUUCCCUUAAUAUGUAAAAGCAUAUUAAUUUUUGUUCUGAACAUAUUCAGUGUAAAGCCCUUGAGGAUUCCAAAGAUUUAUCAACCUCUGAGUGAAGAAAUCUUGUCUCAUCUCAGUCCUGAGUAGCUAACACCUUACUCUGAUUUUGUGGUCCCUUGGCCGAGGUACUCCUACCAGGAGAAAAAUCACCCCCAUAUUUUACCUCGUCAAGCCCUGUAAGAAUGAGAUCAUCCUCUUAUUCUGAUAAAUACGAGUUGAGACGCAGUCUGCUUAUUCUCUUCCUAGACAAUAAUCCUGCUGUGCAAUGUUUAAUAUCAAAGGGGAUUACUUCAAUUGUUUCCACAUUUUCUGCCUUGUCCUCAUUCAUUCACUUAAUCUGCCGAUAUCCUUCUGAAGCUUCUGCUUCCUCCCCACAACUCACUGCCACCCAGCCAGCUGAAAAAAAUGUAUGACUAUUUUCUCCUGCAGACGAUUGUUUUAAAUUCAUCUUGCAUUAAAAUCAAAACAGAGAAUAAAUGAAGAGUAUGAGGCCACUGUGCAUGUAUAUUUUUUUGUUUUGUUAUGGUAGCGAAUUCGGUUUGUGCCAAAGAGAUGGAAUGUGUUGAAGUAAAUGUGAUCAACAUUAAAAUAAGAAUAUUAUGUUCUGUUCAGGAAAAUGUACAUUCUAUUAAAGUAGCUGCUUGAAAUAUAUUGUCAACCGUAACUGUUGGAAUGAAAUAAAUAUUGGCUUAUUUUGCCCAUAAAUGGUUGUGACAAAACUUUUUGGAAGGUUGCAAGGUGAAUGUUAUUUUGUAACAAUAAAUAUUUCUUCCCACCUCA